GAUGAACGCUGGCGGCGUGCCUAAUACAUGCAAGUCGAGCGAACGGACGAGAAGCUUGCUUCUCUGAUGUUAGCGGCGGACGGGUGAGUAACACGUGGAUAACCUACCUAUAAGACUGGGAUAACUUCGGGAAACCGGAGCUAAUACCGGAUAAUAUUUUGAACCGCAUGGUUCAAAAGUAAAAGACGGUCUUGCUGUCACUUAUAGAUGGAUCCGCGCUGCAUUAGCUAGUUGGUAAGGUAACGGCUUACCAAGGCACCGAUGCAUAGCCGACCUGAGAGGGUGAUCGGCCACACUGGAACUGAGACACGGUCCAGACUCCUACGGGAGGCAGCAGUAGGGAAUCUUCCGCAAUGGGCGAAAGCCUGACGGAACAACCCCGCGUGAGUGAUGAAGGUCUUCGGAUCGUAAAACUCUGUUAUUAGGGAAGAAUAUAUGUGUAAGUAACUGUGCACAUCUUGACGGUACCUAAUCCGAAAGCCACGGCUAACUACGUGCCAGCAGCCGCGGUAAUACCUAAGUGGCAAGCGUUAUCCGGAAUUAUUGGGCGUAAAGCGCGCGUAGGCGGUUUUUUAGUCUGAUGUGAAAGCCCACGGCUCAACCGGGGAGGGUCAUUGGAAACUGGAAAACUUGAGUGCAGAAGAGGAAAGUGGAAUUCCAUGUGUAGCGGUGAAAUGCGCAGAGAUAUGGAGGAACACCAGUGGCGAAGGCGACUUUCUGGUCCGUAACUGACGCUGAUGUGCGAAAGCGUGGGGAUCAAACAGGAUUAGAUACCCUGGUAGUCCACGCCGUAAACGAUGAGUGCUAAGUGUUAGGGGGUUUCCGCCCCUUAGUGCUGCAGCUAACGCAUUAAGCACUCCGCCUGGGGAGUACGACCGCAAGGUUGAAACUCAAAGGAAUUGACGGGGACCCGCACAAGCGGUGGAGCAUGUGGUUUAAUUCGAAGCAACGCGAAGAACCUUACCAAAUCUUGACAUCCUUUGACAACUCUAGAGAUAGAGCCUUCCCCUUCGGGGGACAAAGUGACAGGUGGUGCAUGGUUGUCGUCAGCUCGUGUCGUGAGAUGUUGGGUUAAGUCCCGCAACGAGCGCAACCCUUAAGCUUAGUUGCCAUCAUUAAGUUGGGCACUCUAAGUUGACUGCCGGUGACAAACCGGAGGAAGGUGGGGAUGACGUCAAAUCAUCAUGCCCCUUAUGAUUUGGGCUACACACGUGCUACAAUGGACAAUACAAAGGGCAGCGAAACCGCGAGGUCAAGCAAAUCCCAUAAAGUUGUUCUCAGUUCGGAUUGUAGUCUGCAACUCGACUACAUGAAGCUGGAAUCGCUAGUAAUCGUAGAUCAGCAUGCUACGGUGAAUACGUUCCCGGGUCU
rnacentral:rRNA from 1 species